GAUGAACGCUGGCGGCGGGCCUAAUACAUGCAAGUCGAGCGAACAGAUGAUGAGCUUGCGCCUCUGACGGUGGCGGGGGACGGGUGAGUGACACGUGGAUAACCUACCUAUAAGACGGGGAUGACUACGGGAAGCAGGAGAUGAUACCGGAGAAUAUAUUGAACCGGAGGGUUCAAUAGUGAAAGACGGUUUUGCUGUCACUUAUAGAUGGAUCCGCGCCGCAUUAGCUAGUUGGUAAGGUAACGGCUUACCAAGGCAACGAUGCGUAGCCGAGCUGAGAGGGUGAUCGGCCACACUGGAACUGAGACACGGUCCAGACUCCUACGGGAGGCAGCAGUAGGGAAUCUUCCGCAAUGGGCGAAAGCCUGACGCAGCAACGCCGCGUGAGUGAUGAAGGUCUUCGGAUCGUAAAACCCUGUUAUUAGGGAAGAACAAAUGUGUAAGUAACUAUGCCCGUCUUGACGGUACCUAAUCAGAAAGCCCCGGCUAACUACGUG
rnacentral:rRNA from 1 species